ensembl:lncRNA
GUUACAAAAUGUAAGAGGCUAAAAAAUGACUUGAAAUCUGAAAAUCGCAAUUCCUAAAGUAAAGGUAGAUCGUUUCUGUCAUUUAAAAUGUGUGGCAGGAAGAAAAGCAGCAUUUAUUGAGCUCCUGCUAUAUGACUUUAUAUCUAUUGUUGCAUUUAACCCUUAGAUCAGCUCUUUAAGAGGCUGAUUACUCUCAAUUUACAUGUGAGGAAAUGCAAGCUACAGAAAUUACCCUAGAAAGAUGAAGCCCAGCAGCAGGAUUCAAUCCAGGUUCAUCCAACUCCCCAGAUGGUAUUCUUUCCAUCACACCAUGCGGUCUCUCUGAAAUACCUAAGUGAUUCUCCUAUUACAACAAACAGUGGGACACCUCCCCACACAGACCGCUCUCACCACCACCACCAAAUAGCUCAGCAUAUUUGGAGAUAAAAACAAAGGAAGAGAAAUGAAAUACGCAUGUGAAAACUUUAUAGAUUAUUCUGCCCUAUUCGGCAGCCAUUAUGGGAUUGUUACUUGAUAUGAAUGUAGAGAUUUGCUACUUUGAAAGCCUUAAAGUUUCGCUAUUGUGGCCCACAGCUCUCUGGAUAUGGCAGUAUUUCUUGAACUAGCAAAAAAAGCUUAUUUUCUUCAGUAUGUGAAUCCACAUAAAGGUAUUUAUCCUAAACAGCUACUUCCUCCUUUACCAUGGACUGAUUUGGGAUUCAGCUUUGUUGCGAUGCCACAGGUGUUUUAGAUUUUGAUGGCCGCUUCCAAGUGUGGGUCUGAUGAGCUCUCCGCAUGCGCUGCCUGCCUGGGUGAGCGCUGGCCAGGCUGAGUAGGCUCAUUCAUCCAGGAGAUGGCCCUGCAGCUGAAAAGAGGUGGGACGCCUACCACAGCAUGGUGUGCCAAGUGGUGCCAUGUCUGCACCCGGAUCCGAACCAAUGAACCCCGGGCCACCAAAGCGGAACAUGCACACUCAACCACCGUGCCACCGGGCCCACCCCACCCCGAAAAUUGUGACAAGUUAUGCAUUUCAAAUAUCUGUGAUAAGACUGAGGAUUGACUCCACUUAAUUUGGAUCCUGAGUGUUACAAGAGGUGGACAGUAGCGACGCUUUGAGUUGACACUCAUCUCCCUGGCACUAACUCUACUUAGACACAUGGAUGGCUUCUUACUGAAAAUGUCUGUCAGCUCUUUGCCUGAGUAAUUCCGCUGGCUGUAAGAAAGUGCUUGACUUGUGUGUGGAACAGACUGAAAAUGAUUGAAAGUUAACAUCCCAGGAGCGGUCUUCAACCAGUUAUGGAUGGGCGUUGGCAGAGAAACUCCAUAGUUUCUUCACCCCUCAGGUAGGACAACUCCGAGAAGUGUUCCACGUAGUCUCCCAGUGGACCCUAAAAGAGGGAGCCCCAAUUCCUCACACUCGUAAACGGUUUAUUAAUGUAGACUAUGUUGGCUUUGUUCCCUUCCCUGUCUUACUUCCUCACUCCCUAUCCCUGCUUCUUGGAAUCAUUUCCCUAGUAAAUUAAUUUCAUGCAAAUUUUUGUCUCAAGGAAUACAACCUAAGACAAGUGGUAAAACAGGUCAGAGUUCUGACCUUCUACCACUUAUAGUCUAGUAGAGGAGAAGGGCAUGAAUCAAAUAAUUUCGUAGUAAUUGUAAAUUUGCAAUGUGACACUACUGAAAAGAAGACACAUUGAGGCAAUCUGAUUGUGUGUGUGUGUAUUGGGGUUAGGAAACAUUUUUCCCAAGGAAGGGAUGUUUGAGCUGAAAAGUGAAAAAUGAAAAGAGGUGGAGAUAGAGUUCUGUAUGAAAGAAUAACAUAUGCAAAGGGCCUGUGGCAGGAAGAGCAUGGUAUGUAGAGAGACUAAAGAAAGGCAGUGUGGCUGAAGCAGAGGAUGAUGGGGAGCUCAGUGGAAAAUGAGACCAGGAAGGUAGGUAGAAGCCAGAUGGUGUAGGGCUUUCUAGUGUCUUAUUUAUGUGAAGAGCUAUGAGGAGCCAUUGGGAGGGUAUAAUCAGUGGGAUCAUAUCAUCAGAUUUACAUUUCACAAAGAUCAUUUUGUCUGAUGUAUACAAAAGACAUAGGGAGUCAGUGGAAGGAUAUUUGGGUUUAGUCGAUACAGGAAUCUAGGUGAAAGGCUUUUUCUACUAUCAUUACGAGGAAUUGAUUGGAUCCCAGGGUUCAAACCAUGGCUCUGUAAUUUACUCAGUGAAUGAUCUUGGGCCAGCUACUUAACCUUCCAUGCUGAAAUUUCCUCAUACGUAAAAUAACUGUAACUAGAUGUUAUAAUCAUGAUUAGGAUACUGCCUGACACGUCGUAAACACAAUCCAAGUGUUGGGUACAAUUAACAUCAUUAUUAUUAUCUUCCAACAUGUAAUAGGUAACUGGUGAAUUUUUAAGCUGGGUUACUCUCCAGGGGCUUUCGUCUUGUUUGGUAUAUACAGUUGCUGCUUUAACAGCUAGUAUAGAGGAGGGCAGGGUGGCAGCAGGUCUGCCAUGAAAUGCAUGCCUUAGUGCUUAGCAGCUGAAUAACCUGGAGCCAGUCGCUUCCCUCCUGUUUCCUCCUCUCUGUUACGGGGAGGGGUCUAGGAUUAGUACCUAACUUCACUGCUUCACUGGGUUAUUGUAGGAAGAAACGGACUGCUCUCCAUCAAACGCAGGUCGAUCCAUGGCACAGUAUGCUUGCUAUCACUUGUAACUAUUCUGAUAAGCACUGAUAAUUGUCUCUUCCAGUCAUCAUUCUCAUCAGUUUAUUCCUCCUCCAUCGUGAUCUUGUUAUAACAAUUAAAUAAGGAGCUAAGAUAACACUGUUUUACCUUUGGAAAAGUCCUUAGAGUAGAAAACCCUGCAAAAGUGUAGCUAUUUUUACUACUUUGCUGCAAAUUUUACAUUUUAUACUCCUUUAAUGUCUUUAGAUUGUGAGCAUCACAUUGCCACUGCUAUAUUAUUAUUGCAGUAAAGUCCUCAUGAAAAUGACUCUUCCUCUGUAUUUCCGUGAGUAAAAUCAUCACUCUGAAGUGAAUGGUGUUGUCAAUUCCUAAGAACCUCCCAGAUAUUCUAUGCUUUUCUCUUUGGCUUCAGUGAUUUCAUUGUAAUUGUUAGCAAAAUACCACAUAUUUUGCUCGUAAGCAUGAAAACUUGAGUUCUUAUACAAUUAUCUUUCAAGGCCAGAUCCUAAUGUUUCAUGAGGUAGAAGAGAAACAUAUUUUUACUUGCAGCCUGUGUAUAAAAAAAAGAAUUAUGAGUACUCCUAUAAAAUUUUUAUUGAAGCCCAUUAAAUUUUUUGCAAGCAUUGUCUAUUUAUUGAGAGUGGCCUUUUUUUCUUUAAACUCUGGCAUGAUAUUGAGAUAUUGAGAAACAAUCUCCUCUCUUGGAGAGAAUUAGGUCAGCUCUUACUGUUUUAUGCUUUUAGUGCAUUUCUCUGUGUAUGUGCUUAUACUUUCUACAUAGGCUUUUUAAGUUUCUUUGACUAAUGACUGAAUUAAAAUUUCUCACAUUUAGAUAUGUGAAAUAUGAAAUUGAAGAUUGCUUCCUGUUUGUCUUUGCUUUACUAAACCACUGGGCAUAAUAUACAGUAGUUAUAAGAUUAUAAAAUUUAAUCUGACUAAUAAUAUGCAUUAUUAAUAUAUUUUAACAUAUUUUUAUGUUACAAAAAUAUUCCUGAAGUAUUUUGAUUAAGAAAUUUUCUUAUUAUUUUUAACUUAACUUUCCAGCUUCAAAAGGAGAUUUCUAAAAUCAGUUGAUUCUGCUUUUGAUGUUUUGAUAGUUUCUGCAGUCUCUUUUGGUCGUAUUAUCUAUCUAUGACACUUUAAUGAAAAUACUUUGAAAAUAGCAGAGUUGAUUUCUUUUAUAGUAACAGAUGUGCAUAAUGCUUACUUUAAUGUUCUUGCCUCGUAUCUGACAUGUUGCUCCAAAUCUUCAAUGGCUUGAUUAUUGUAAAACAUAUAGUAACAACUCUUGGAAACACCUAAAAACUUCUUGGGCAUUACAUUUUAUCUUGAGGGGGCAGGGGCCAUGGCCAUCAGUCUUGCUGUGGGUCCUGUCACAGAUUCUACCCUGAGGCACUGACAAGAGCUGAAACAGUCCUUUCUACUGUGAAGUUUCUUUGGUCUGUCCAUUCAACAGACAUGGCUGAAUAUUAAAAGAAAAAUCUAUGGGACCUUUAAAUAACCUUUAAGCUUCAAUAUGUGUAAUUCAUUGGGUGUUCAUUUCAGUAUCAAUUUCUGUGAAAAGACAUUUCAAAGAUGAAACAUGUAAAAUUCCGUUUCAGCUCAACUUUAACAAAUGAACAUUUGCAUUCAGUUUUGAUGAUAGAGAACACUAACUUGAAUCCCAGUCAAGAAAAUAUUAUCCCUUCCCAAAUAAUUACUUUAUUUUCAUUAGUAUACCUGUAUUAUAAGAAAAUUAUGUUCAAUUAUUAUGUUUUGAAUUCCGUAAGUAAAAAUUUUGGGAAAAUUUGUCUUCUCUCUUGCUAUAAAAGUGCCUACAUAAUGUCCUUGAUUUCGCCUCUUGUCCUGAAAAAGCUAAAAUACUUACUGUCUGGCCCACUACAGAAAAAAGUGUGCUCAUCUCUGCUUUAAGGUAGUCCUCCUGGGCGCAGGAGGGAGCAUGGAUCGUAGGGUGGUGAGGGGUUAGGUUAGGUGCUAUGGCCGCAAUCCAGGAGACAGAGGAUGGUCUUCAGAAAUAAGCAGGACUGUCAGAGUGGUCCUCUGCCUAAAA